UACGUAGGGGGCAAGCGUUGUCCGGAAUCAUUGGGCGUAAAGAGCGUGUAGGCGGAUCGAUAAGUCGGGGGUGAAAUCCCGAGGCUCAACCUCGGAACUGCCUUCGAUACUGCCGAUCUGGAGUCCGGGAGAGGUGAGUGGAACUGCGAGUGUAGAGGUGAAAUUCGUAGAUAUUCGCAAGAACACCAGUGGCGAAGGCGGCUCACUGGCCCGGUACUGACGCUGAGAUGCGAAAGCGUGGGGAGCAAACAGG
rnacentral:rRNA from 1 species